AGAGUUUGAUCAUGGCUCAGGAUGAACGCUGGCGGCGUGCUUAACACAUGCAAGUCGAACGCUGAAGCCCCAGCUUGCUGGGGUGGAUGAGUGGCGAACGGGUGAGUAACACGUGAGUAACCUUCCCUUGACUCUGGGAUAAGCCCGGGAAACUGGGUCUAAUACCGGAUACGACCUCCUGCCGCAUGGUGUGGGGGUGGAAAGAUUUAUCGGUUUUGGAUGGACUCGCGGCCUAUCAGCUUGUUGGUGAGGUAAUGGCUCACCAAGGCGACGACGGGUAGCCGGCCUGAGAGGGUGACCGGCCACACUGGGACUGAGACACGGCCCAGACUCCUACGGGAGGCAGCAGUGGGGAAUAUUGCACAAUGGGCGCAAGCCUGAUGCAGCGACGCCGCGUGAGGGAUGACGGCCUUCGGGUUGUAAACCUCUUUCAGUAGGGAAGAAGCGAAAGUGACGGUACCUGCAGAAGAAGCGCCGGCUAACUACGUGCCAGCAGCCGCGGUAAUACGUAGGGCGCGAGCGUUAUCCGGAAUUAUUGGGCGUAAAGAGCUCGUAGGCGGUUUGUCGCGUCUGCCGUGAAAGUCCGGGGCUUAACCCCGGAUCUGCGGUGGGUACGGGCAGACUAGAGUGCAGUAGGGGAGACUGGAAUUCCUGGUGUAGCGGUGAAAUGCGCAGAUAUCAGGAGGAACACCGAUGGCGAAGGCAGGUCUCUGGGCUGUUACUGACGCUGAGGAGCGAAAGCAUGGGGAGCGAACAGGAUUAGAUGCCCUGGUAGUCCAUGCCGUAAACGUUGGGCACUAGGUGUGGGGGACAUUCCACGUUUUCCGCGCUGCAGCUAACGCAAUUAUGUGCCCCGCCUGGGG
rnacentral:rRNA from 1 species